CGGGAGCAUGAGGAGUACCUGAAACUGAAGGAGGCCUUUGUGGUGGAGGAGGAAGGCGUAGGAGAGACCAUGACUGAGGAACAGUCCCAGAGCUUCCUGACAGAGUUCAUCAACUACAUCAAGCAGUCCAAGGUUGUGCUCUUGGAAGACCUGGCUUCCCAGGUGGGCCUACGCACUCAGGUGUGAUUGACGACCGGGGCAAGUUCAUCUACAUAACCCCAGAGGAACUGGCCGCCGUGGCCAACUUCAUCCGACAGCGGGGCCGGGUGUCCAUCGCCGAGCUUGCCCAAGCCAGCAACUCCCUCAUCGCCUGGGGCCGGGAGCCCCCUGCCCAAGCCCCAGCCUGACCCCAGUCCUUCCCUCUUGGACUCAGAGUUGGUGUGGCCUACCUGGCUAUACAUCUUCAUCCCUCCCCACCAUCCUGGGGAAGUGAUGGUGUGGCCAGGCAGUUAUAGAUUAAAGGCCUGUGAGUACUGCUGA
rnacentral:sRNA from 1 species